ACUAUCUCUUUUUCCUGAUAAUGUUUUGAAUUUUAUGAUUAGAGUUAUUCUCUAAUUGGUUAGUAUUAUCACAUCUCCUGUUCUCAGCUAUCAUCGGCUUAGUACAUUGUUCUCUAUUGUGAGUUCACAUAAUUCACGCAUAGUGAUCACGUAUUUCUCUUAUAAAAAACACAGUCCUGAUUUCAGUAUUUUUAAUCCACCCUGAGAGUCUCUAUCUUUAAUAGUUGAGUCUACUAGUACAUUCUGGUGGGUGUCUCCCCAUAUCCAUUAUGCCCUUCAUCCUAUCCAACAAUACCCCAAAGAUGUCAUGCCUGUGGUUUGGGUGGGGUUGACCCUACCUCUACCUGUAAAGAUGGAGUCAGAGAGGUUUAUGUGAUUGAUUCAGAGAUGGCUCAAAAUAAAAAAGAGGACUGCCCCUGCUGUGCAGUAGACCCCAGCUCACUCCUCAUGUCUAGCUGAAACACUGUGCCCUGGACCAGCCUCACUCCUGUCCAAGUUCCCCGCAUCCCUCAGACUCUGAUACUGCAAUUGUUACACAUUGAAGGUUUGUGGCCACCCUGCCACCAGGAAGUCAACUUGUGACAUUUUUCCAACAGCAUGUGCUUAUUUCAUGUCUCUGUGUUAAAUUUUGGAAAUUAUCACAGUCAUCCCAAACUUCAGCAGCCACCACGAUGAUGAGUGGUGAUGAGCCGUUGAUGGCUACAUCAACAUCGAAGCAAGACUCUCCACCAAUAAAAAGAUUACG